UAGAAUAUAGGAUGCUCUUAGUCUCGAUCUUUUUUUUUUUUUAAUGUAGAUUAGUCAAAAUAUUUAUUGGUGUCUUUUUCUUCAUAGAUACUCCGAUCCAUUGAAAUAUAUCAAAUAAGACUUUUCUAACAAGGUUGUGCUGGUACUUAAAGUUUGAAAGCUUCUUAUAAUGAAUUGUGUGUUCCCCAAAAGUAACCAAACACAUUUUACGACAAACAAGACAAACCUCAUCAAUAGAAAAUAAGUUAAUCAUAAGGCGAU
rnacentral:lncRNA from 1 species